UUUUAUGAGAGUUUGAUCCUGGCUCAGGACGAACGCUGGCGGCGUGCCUAAUACAUGCAAGUCGAACGCUUUUUCUUUCACCGGAGCUUGCUCCACCGAAAGAAAAGGAGUGGCGAACGGGUGAGUAACACGUGGGUAACCUGCCCAUCAGAAGGGGAUAACACUUGGAAACAGGUGCUAAUACCGUAUAAUAAGUAAAACCGCAUGGUUUUACUUUGAAAGGCGCUUUUGCGUCACUGAUGGAUGGACCCGCGGUGCAUUAGCUAGUUGGUGAGGUAACGGCUCACCAAGGCAACGAUGCAUAGCCGA
rnacentral:rRNA from 1 species